GCUUACGGCCACACCGCCUGGUUCACGCCCCAUCUCGUUUGAUCUCGGAAGAUAAGAUAGGUUGGGCCUGGUUAGUACUUGGAUGGGAGACCGCCUAGGGAUACCAGGUGCUGUAAGGC
rnacentral:rRNA from 1 species